AUGGCUACAUCUGUGGAGACUGCUCCAGUCAGAGCACCUGGAAAGUGUGAGACUGGGAGGAAAACUGAAUUCCAGAAUGAGGACUCUCCACUAACUGUGCCCCUUCUAGCCUCUAGACCUUCAAACCUAAAUACUGUAACCAAGACCUUUACAGAAGAUUUUGACAGCUAAGCAAAAGGGGUGAUGGAUUCUCUCAGCUCUCUGAUUAUAUGUUACCUGGCACCUUACCAGCACCAUUCACUCUAGAGCAGUAAGAGUAAGGAUAGGAGAUCUUCCUCUGGCCUUUUUACACACACUGUAAUAAGCUACCAGGGCAAACAUAAAUGUUUACUGCUGCUAUCUGCAGUCCACUCAUCUGAAUUUCAUUCAGUCUAUGAGCUUUCUCUAUUGGAAAGCAGCAAAUUUUGAGGCAAGGGAAUCUUCCAUAAAUUCUCAUUUAGUUCUAUUUCUGAUGAAGCAUCCUGAUUGACAGAACAAUUUGUAAUCUUUUUAAAGACCAGCCUAGAUGGAUACUGCUUUAUAACUAAUAUUUUAUGAGGUUUUUGUGAACUCUGAAUCAUGAGGUU
rnacentral:lncRNA from 1 species